AUGGGGCAGGGGGGAAGGAGGCCUGUCAGGAUACAAAGAAAGGCCUGAGCCAGGCCCUGGCCUGAGGAGCUCCCAGUCUAAGGGGAUGAUUCCUUGCACACAGCUCUGCACAAAUACCCGUUUUAUGUGAAACAGAGGAAGGAGCAAACUUGUCCUUUAUGCUUCCCUAUGUGUGAAAGGAGGAAGAGGAAAAGGAGGGACAAGAAAAGGAAGUUAGCAAGUAGGAGAGGGUCCAGCUCUAAGCCAAAGGCCAGGCUUCUCUGAGUCCAUCUCUGCUCCCUAUAGUGCUGCUCUCUUUGCCCCCCUCCCUCUUCUAUUUCCUGAUUUCUCUCCCUUGGCUCAUAGGCUGCUUUCUCCAUCGACAGACUAUGUCCUACCAUCAGGUCGUCGAAGCCUUUCCCCACAAGCCAACUUACUGUCCCGAGGAGUACCCCCUUUCCUUGAAAGGGAUCCCCCCAACACCAGGGCUAACAGCCCCAUGGCUAAGGGGGGCUGCAGAGAGUUGCUGGCACCAGUUAAAAGCAGCCUGUACAAACGGGCCAAGUCUGCACUGGGUAAUAGGAGAAAACGGAUUGCCGCAAUGGGGGCCAACAAUCAAAUAGAGCUGGCUCCUCUUCAAAAAUUUAGCCUUUCUCAAAGGGCCAAGGUCCUCCUGUUCUCCAGGCCAUCUUCCCGAAUAUGCCCUGAUACUGGGAGGGAAAAGCAGGUGAUUGCUCCAUGACAGGUCAGGGUAAACAGGAAGUCACUGCCCAUUUGUCCACCUCCUGUCUCAGUCUGGAUAGGAGACUCAGUCGCCCAUCGGCUUAAGGGACUCCACCAAGGCCCCAGGCAGGAGGGGCUCUCGCCUACCUGAGCAAUGCAGCCAGCCUUGGUCUAGGGGAUGGGGCAGGGGGGAAGGAGGCCUGUCAGGAUACAAAGAAAGGCCUGAGCCAGGCCCUGGCCUGGAGGAGCUCCCAGUCUAAGGGGAUGAUUCCUUGCACACAGCUCUGCACAAAUACCCGUUUUACAUGAAACAAGAGGAAGAAACAAACUUGUCCUUUAUGCUUCUCUAUGUGUGAAAGGAGGAAGAGGAAAAGGAGGGACAGGAAAAGGAAGUUAGCAAGUAGGAGAGGGUCCAGCUCUAAGCCAAAGGCCAGGCUUCUCUGAGUCCAUCUCUGCUCCCUGUAGUGCUGCUCUCUUUGCCCCCCUCCCUCUUCUAUUUCCUGAUUUCUCUCCCUUGGCUCAUAGGCUGCCUUCUUCAUCCACAGACUUGGCCCCACUGUCAGGAGGCCGAAGCCUCUCCCCACAGGCCAAGGCCCCCAGGAGACGAGUUGUUCCUUUGCUGGAAAAGUACCCGCCAACACUCUUAAAAUAACAGUCCUCAAUGAGAGGGCUGUACAGUCUUGCCUCCACUAAAAAAUAACAGGAGCCUGAGCCAACGGACCAGUCCGCCAUGUUCUCAAGGCAAGGCCAGAUUGCUUCUCUGUGGGAAAACGACACCCCAAAAUCAAGUGCAAACACUCCAAUUGUUCCACAAAAGGCUGAUUGUGAGGGCUGCAAGGAGUUGGCUCCACUGAAAAACAGAAGUCUCUGCCAAAUGGGCCAAGUGUGCUGUUUAUAUGAGGAAAGAUCGGGUUUCCCCUCUUUGGGAAAUGACACCCCCCCCAGACUCGAAGGCAAAAGUCUUAUCUGUGCUGUGCUCUUACAAAAGGAGGAUGUGAGGGCUGCAAGGAUUCUGCUCCAAUGAUCACCAGGAGCAUGUGCCAAUGAAUGGGCCAUGGUGCUCCUCUUCCCCAGUCGAGGUCGAAUUGCCCCAAUUGAUGGAAAUUCACCAAGCCACACUCCAAACGCACUGACCCAAAAACAAUAUGUGCCCUUCACAGAGUUGUCUCCCCUGCCCAACAGAAGCCUCUGCCAAUGGGAAAAGGCCGUCGUAUUCCACGAUCGACAUCUAGUUGCCACUUCAGGGAGAAAGACCCUUCACACUGACCAAGCCACACUCUGACACAACUGACAUCAAAGGAAGAAUGAGUGCCCUGCACAGAGUUGUCUUCACUACCCAGCAGAAGCUUUUGCCAAUGGGCCAAGGACACCAUCUUCCCUAGUCGAGGUCGAGUUGCUCCUUUCUGGGAGAAAGACCCCUUAAACACCCCUUACUUCCACCACAACUGACAUUUGAAGCUGAAUGUCGGCCCUCCACAGACUUGGCUGCUGCCCAGCAGAAAUCUGCACUAAGGGCCAAGGCUCUCCUCUUCCCCAGUCGAUCUCAGCACAUUUCCCCUGAAAACUUGGGGGAAGAGAUGGCUCCCAUAAACCUCCAGCAUUCACUGUGGUGCCAGUAGCUGGGCAGGCCUGGGCAGUCCCUACCCCUGGAAGAGGCCGGUCUCUGGGCUUACCAAUGACCUCCCUUGCUUGCCAUGAGAGAUCAAACAGGAAGCCACAGCAUCCUCCUGUCAGCCCCCUCCUCCCUCAGGCUGCAGCACUUGCCUGCCCCAGGCUUUAGGGACUCCAGCCAAAAGCCCCAGGAAGAGGCUCAGCCACCCUUACAAAGGAAAAUUGCAAACACCAGUCCACCCGGUUCACCAGAUAGAUGAAGAUGCACAAAUUGAGAAUCAAGAAUUGCUAAUUGAAUGUGAAGUUCCAGCCAAUCUUGGUCUCCAGAUCUCUGACUAAUUGGAUGCUCUAAACAGGAAAGAUAUUGGUUGUCCUAUUUGCACAGUGUCUUAAAAAUUAAAAAUUGAAUAUAAUUUUAAUUUUUAGUGUUUAGCAAAUUUAUUUUUAAUAAGCAUUGCUUUAUGAAUCAUGUUGGGAGAAGAAAAUCAGAGCAAAAGGAAGAACCAUGGGAGAAAGAAAAAGAAAAUAAAAUAAGUGAACAUAUAUUGCUUUACAUUCUUUCUAUUUGGUUCUUUUUCUGAAAGCAGAUGGCAUUUUCUGUCUAGUCUAUUGGAAUUGCUUUGGAUCACUAAAGCACUAAGAUCAAUUCUUUCCUAGUUGACCAUCACAAAUUCUUACUGUUAUUUUUUAUAAAUUAUUCUUUCUUCUGCUUACUCCACCCAACAUCAUUUCGGGUAAAUCAUUCCAGACCUUGCUAAAAUCAGCUUGUUCAUCAUUUUUUUAUAUAAUACCAAUAUUCCCUUGCCUUCACAUACCAUCAUAUCUUGUUCAGCCAUUCCCCACCUGAUGCUUAUCCAUUUCCCAAUUCUUUGCUACCACAAAAACAAGCUGUUAAGAAACAAUUUUGCA
ensembl:lncRNA